rnacentral:rRNA from 1 species
GACGAACGCUGGCGGCGGGCUUAACACAUGCAAGUCGAGCUGAGAGAAGUAGCUUGCUACUGAUCUUAGCGGCGGACGGGUGAGUAAUGCUUAGGAAUCUGCCUAUUAGUGGGGGACAACAUUUCGAAAGGAAUGCUAAUACCGCAUACGUCCUACGGGAGAAGGCAGGGGAUCUUCGGACCUUGCGCUAAUAGAUGAGCCUAAGUCGGAUUAGCUAGUUGGUGGGGUAAAGGCCUACCAAGGCGACGAUCUGUAGCGGGUCUGAGAGGAUGAUCCGCCACACUGGGACUGAGACACGGCCCAGACUCCUACGGGAGGCAGCAGUGGGGAAUAUUGGACAAUGGGCGGAAGCCUGAUCCAGCCAUGCCGCGUGUGUGAAGAAGGCCUUAUGGUUGUAAAGCACUUUAAGCGAGGAGGAGGCUACUUUAGUUAAUACCUAGAGAUAGUGGACGUUACUCGCAGAAUAAGCACCGGCUAACUCUGUGCCAGCCGCCGCCGUAACAC